rnacentral:rRNA from 1 species
CGAACGCUGGCGGCAGGCCUAAUACAUGCAAGUCGAACGGCUCUUCGGAGCAGUGGCGGACGGGUGAGUAACGCGUGGGAAUGUGCCCUUGGGUACGGAACAACACAGGGAAACUUGUGCUAAUACCGUAUGUGCCCUUCGGGGGAAAGAUUUAUCGCCAUUGGAGCAUCCCGCGUUGGAUUAGGUAGUUGGUGAGGUAAAGGCUCACCAAGCCUACGAUCCAUAGCUGGUCUGAGAGGAUGACCAGCCACACUGGGACUGAGACACGGCCCAGACUCCUACGGGAGGCAGCAGUAGGGAAUCUUGCGCAAUGGGCGAAAGCCUGACGCAGCCAUGCCGCGUGUAUGAUGAAGGUCUUAGGAUUGUAAAAUACUUUCACCGGGGAAGAUAAUGACGGUACCCGGAGAAGAAGCCCCGGCUAACUUCGUGCCAGCAGCCGCGGUAACGC